CUGUUAUCCACCGGUCUAAAUGAACCAGUCCACCUCCGCUGGAUUAUCAUGAUGUAAGGCUCAUCUAAUUGGAUUCUCUGCAGAGGACUGCGUGUUUGAUCGGACACUGAUACAGUGCGGGAGAUAUGAGGAAACAGUGAAACGUACAGGGACACAACGGAGCAGCAAACUCCUAAAUGGGAUGAAACUUCAUUUCUGCCGCCUGCCAUAUUGUUCAUUACCCAUGAGUCAUUGAUGGAGAGGAUAACAGCUGAAACUAGACUAUUUGGUGCUACAGAGAGUUUGACUGGUUUGUGUAUAUUGUAUCAUUGUCAGAUUUAAGAGCAAAGGAAAUCAUCAAUAAAUGAAUGUAAAUAUUGCCUCUUCUCUCAC
ensembl:lncRNA